GAUGAACGCUGACAGCAUGCUUAACACAUGCAAGUCAACUGUGGCGGACGGGUGAGUAACGCGUAAAGAACUUGCCUCACAGUUAGGGACAACCUUUGGAAACGAAUGCUCAUCCCUGAUACUGUGAGAGAGCUUUGCGUCCCAUUAGCUAGUUGGAGAGGUAACGGCUCACCAAGGCGAUGAUGGGUAGCCGGCCUGAGAGGGUGAUCGGCCACAAGGGGACUGAGACACUGCCCUUACUCCUACGGGAGGCAGGAGUGGGGAAUAUUGGACAAUGGACCAAAGUCUGAUCCAGCAAUUCUGUGUGCAAGAUGAAGUUUUCGGAAUGUAAAGGGCUUUCAGUUGGGAAGCGGUACCAACAGAAGAAGUGACGGGUAAAUACGUGCCAGCAGCCGCGGUAAUUC
rnacentral:rRNA from 1 species